rnacentral:tRNA from 1 species
GUGGAUAUAGCUUAGUGGUAGAGCACUUGCCUUGUGUGUGGAAGUCCCUGGGUUCCAUCCACAGUUCCACA